UACGUAGGGUGCAAGCGUUGUCCGGAAUUAUUGGGCGUAAAGAGCUCGUAGGCGGCUUGGUAAGUCGGAUGUGAAACCUCCAGGCUCAACCUGGAGUCGCCAUCCGAUACUGCCAUGGCUAGAGUCCGGUAGGGGCCCACGGAACUCCUGGUGUAGCGGUGAAAUGCGCAGAUAUCAGGAGGAACACCGGUGGCGAAGGCGGGUCUCUGGGCAGUAACUGACGCUGAGGAGCGAAAGCGUGGGGAGCGAACAGG
rnacentral:rRNA from 1 species